CACGAACCGUACGAACGUUAUUCGGAAUUACUGGGCUUAAAGGGUUUGUAGGCGGCCAUGUAAGUCAGGUGUGAAAUCCCUCGGCUCAACCGAGGAACGGCGCUUGAUACUGCAUGGCUUGAGGGAGACAGGGGUAAGCGGAACUGAUGGUGGAGCGGUGAGAUGCGUUGAUAUCAUCAGGAACACCGGUGGCGAAAGCGGCUUACUGGGUCUCUUCUGACGCUGAGGAACGAAAGCUAGGGUAGCGAACGGG
rnacentral:rRNA from 1 species